rnacentral:rRNA from 1 species
UGCCGCGUGUGUGAAGAAGGCCUUCGGGUUGUAAAGCACUUUUGUCCGGAAAGAAAACGCUCUGGUUAAUACCUGGGGCGGAUGACGGUACCGGAAGAAUAAGCACCGGCUAACUACGUGCCAGCAGCCGCGGUAAUACGUAGGGUGCGAGCGUUAAUCGGAAUUACUGGGCGUAAAGCGUGCGCAGGCGGUUUUGUAAGACAGGCGUGAAAUCCCCGAGCUCAACUUGGGAAUUGCGCUUGUGACUGCAAGGCUAGAGUAUGUCAGAGGGGGGUAGAAUUCCACGUGUAGCAGUGAAAUGCGUAGAGAUGUGGAGGAAUACCGAUGGCGAAGGCAGCCCCCUGGGACGUCACUGACGCUCAUGCACGAAAGCGUGGGGAGCAAACAGGAUUAGAUACCCUGGUAGUCCACGCCCUAAACGAUGUCAACUAGUUGUUGGGGAUUCAUUUCUUCAGUAACGUAGCUAACGCGUGAAGUUGACCGCCUGGGGAGUACGGUCGCAAGAUUAAAACUCAAAGGAAUUGACGGGGACCCGCACAAGCGGUGGAUGAUGUGGAUUAAUUCGAUGCAACGCGAAAAACCUUACCUACCCUUGACAUGCCACUAACGAAGCAGAGAUGCAUCAGGUGCCCGAAAGGGAAAGUGGACACAGGUGCUGCAUGGCUGUCGUC